AAUCAACGCUGGCGGCGUGCCUCAGACAUGCAAGUCGAACGCGAAAGUCCCCUUCGGGGGACAAGUAGAGUGGCGCACGGGUGAGUAACACGUAGGUAAUCUACCUUCGGAUGGGGAAUAACAACCGGAAACGGUUGCUAAUACCGCAUAAUGCAGCGGCACCUAAUGGUGACAGUUGUUAAAGCGGGGGAGUCGAAAGACCUCGCGUCUGAAGAGGAGCCUGCGGCGGAUUAGCUAGUUGGUAAGGUAACGGCUUACCAAGGCGACGAUCCGUGGCCGGCCUGAGAGGGCGGUCGGCCACACUGACACUGACAUACGGGUCAGACUCCUACGGGAGGCAGCAGUCGGGAAUUUUGGGCAAUGGGCGAAAGCCUGACGCAGCAACGCCGCGUGAGUGAUGAAGGCCUCGGUCGUAAG
rnacentral:rRNA from 1 species